UUCUCGAAACCUAAUUAAGAAU
rnacentral:snRNA from 1 species